rnacentral:pre_miRNA from 1 species
ACAACAUGGGACCGUCGGUCUACCGAGCAAUGUCACCCGCUCGGUGGAAGAUCUUCCCUCCGUCGU